AAUGGGAAAUGAUGACAGCUUAAUUGCUGGAUAGUAUCUGAGCAAGCUUUGAAGAUUUAUCUUUUGCACGUCAGUCUGAUCCCUAU
rfam:Gossypium raimondii chromosome 1, whole genome shotgun sequence.